rnacentral:rRNA from 1 species
AGCGAACGCUGGCGGCAGGCCUAACACAUGCAAGUCGAACGAAGUCUUCGGACUUAGUGGCGGACGGGUGAGUAACACGUGGGAACGUACCUUUUGGUUCGGAAUAGCUCUUGGAAACGGGAGGUAAUGCCGAAUGUGCCCUUAGGGGGAAAGAUUUAUCGCCAUUAGAGCGGCCCGCGUUGGAUUAGAUAGUUGGUGUGGUAAAGGCGCACCAAGUCUACGAUCCAUAGCUGGUCUGAGAGGAUGAUCAGCCACACUGGGACUGAGACACGGCCCAGACUCCUACGGGAGGCAGCAGUGGGGAAUCUUGCGCAAUGGUCGAAAGACUGACGCAGCCAUGCCGCGUGAAUGAUGAAGGUCUUAGGAUUGUAAAAUUCUUUUAGUAGGGACGAUAAUGACGGUAUCUACAGAAAAAGCCCCGGCUAACUUCGUGCCAGCCGCCGCAGUAAUAC